GUGCAGCAGGCGCGAAACCUUCGCAAUGCGGGAAACCGCGACGAGGGGACUCCCAGUGCCUACGCUCAGCGUAGGCUGUUCCCGAGCCUAGAAAGCUCGGGGAGUAAGGGCUGGGUAAGACGGGUGCCAGCCGCCGCGGUAAUACCCGCAGCCCGAGUGGUGGCCACUAUUAUUGGGCCUAAAGCGUCCGUAGCCGGCCCGGUAAAUGCCUGGGUAAAUCGUGAGGCCUAACCUCACGAAUUCCGGGUAGACUGCCGGGCUAGGGACCGGAGGAGGGAGAGGGGUACUCCAGGGGUAGGGGUGAAAUCCUGUAAUCCCUGGAGGACCACCGGUGGCGAAGGCGCUCUCCUAGGACGGGUCCGACGGCGAGGGACGAAAGCCAGGGGAGCGAACCGGAUUAGAUACCCCUGUAGU
rnacentral:rRNA from 1 species